GCCCUAAUAGCUCAAUGGUAGAGCACACGGCUGUUAACCGUGGUGUUACAGGUUCGAGCCCUGUUUGGGGCG
rnacentral:tRNA from 1 species